UAGUCAUAUGCUUGUCUUAAAGAUUAAGCCAUGCAUGUCUAAGCGUAAAUGAACUAUACACAGUGAAACUGCGAAUGGCUAAAUAAAACAGUUAUAGUUUACUCGAUGAUGUCUUGUUACCUGGAUAACUGCAGUAAUUCUGGAGCUAAUACAUGCACAAAGCGGGGACCGGGGCAACCUGGGAGUCGCGUAUUUAUUAGAGCAAAGACCGUCUGCGGCUGGGGGGGCAACCUCCUGGACGCAUCUACGAACGGUGAACCAUGGUAACUUCACGGAUCGCAUGGCCCAGCGCCGGCGACGAAUCGUUCAAGUUUCUGCCCUAUCAACUCACGAUGGUAGUGUAUUGGACUACCAUGGUCUUAACGGGUGACGGAGAAUUAGGGUUCGAUUCCGGAGAGGGAGCCUGAGAGACGGCUACCACUUCCAAGGAAGGCAGCAGGCGCGCAAAUUACCCAAUCCCGAUACGGGGAGGUAGUGACAAUAAAUAACAAUACGGGCCAUUUUCAAUGUCUCGUAAUUGGAAUGAGUACAAUCCAAACACCUUAACGAGGAACAAUU
rnacentral:rRNA from 1 species